rnacentral:rRNA from 1 species
AGAGUUUGAUCCUGGCUCAGAUUGAACGCUGGCGGCAUGCUUUACACAUGCAAGUCGAACGGCAGCACGGGGGCAACCCUGGUGGCGAGUGGCGAACGGGUGAGUAAUACAUCGGAACGUACCCAGUAGUGGGGGAUAGCCCGGCGAAAGCCGGAUUAAUACCGCAUAUGCCCUGAGGGGGAAAGCGGGGGACCGAAAGGCCUCGCGCUAUUGGAGCGGCCGAUGGCUGAUUAGCUAGUUGGUGGGGUAAAGGCCUACCAAGGCGACGAUCAGUAGCUGGUCUGAGAGGACGACCAGCCACACUGGGACUGAGACACGGCCCAGACUCCUACGGGAGGCAGC